CUGAGCUCCAUGUGACUGACUCUGUGUGUUUGCAUAUGUGUCCUGCCUCUCUGCUCCCAGCUGUUAAGAGGUCAGUGUUGAUCAGUGGCUGUCCAGGCCUUUCAGAGCCACUGACACACCAGCAGCACAAUGAUGAUGUCACUGACUCUACUGCUGACCACCCUGGGACUCCUGGUUCACGGUUCAUCAGGAGACAUAAUCAUGACUCAGACUCCAGAAUCUCUGUCUGUUGUUCCAGGACAGACUGUCUCCAUCACAUGUAAAGCCAGUCAAUAUGUCAGCGAUGAGGUAGACUGGUACCUUCAGAGACCUGGAGAAGCUAUUAAACUCCUGAUCUAUUGGACAUCACGUCGUCAGCCUGGAGUUUCUGAUCGUUUCAGUGGAAGUCAGUCUGGAACUGAUUUCACUCUGACCAUCAGCAGAGUUCAGGCUGAAGAUGCAGGACUUUAUCACUGUCAGCAGGAUUGGAGCACACCGUUCACACAGUGAUAUAACG